rnacentral:rRNA from 1 species
AAUCAACGCUGGCGGCGUGCCUAACACAUGCAAGUCGAACGAGAAAGUGGAGCAAUCCACAAGUAAAGUGGCGCACGGGUGAGUAACACGUGACUAACCUACCCUUGAGUGGGGGAUAACCUAGGGAAACCUGGGCUAAUACCGCAUAAUACCUAUGGGUCAAAGGAGCAAUUCGCUUUUGGAGGGGGUCGCGGCAGAUUAGUUAGUUGGCAGGGUAAUGGCCUACCAAGACGAUGACUGUAUCCGGCCUGAGAGGGCGCACGGACACACUGGAACUGAAACACGGUCCAGACUCCUACGGGAGGCAGCAGUGGGGAAUUUUGCGCAAUGGGGGAAACCCUGACGCAGCAACGCCGCGUGGAGGAUGAAGACCCUUGGGUCGUAAACUCCUUUCGAUC